rnacentral:lncRNA from 1 species
CCCAUGACGUCCCUUCCAGGCACCACCCCCUGGAGGUCACCACUGGUUCCCACCACCACCUGUCCCCUCUGCCCACAGCUGAGAGCACCAGGGAUGGCCUGGGGCCUGGUCUCCUUUCACCCAUGGUCAGCCCACUGAAGGGGCUUGGUCCCCCACCAUUGCCACCAGCCUCCCAGAGUCAGUCUCCAGGGGCACAGUCAUUCUCCACGAUCCCCAGCAAGCCUACCUACCCACCCUUCCAGAGCCCACCACCACCUCUGCCCAGCCCCCAAGGCUACCAAGGCAGUUUCCAUUCCAUCCAGAACUGCUUCCCCUAUGCUGACUGUUACCGGACCACUGAGCCAGCAGCCUCCAGGGAUGGACUGGUGGGUGAUGCCCAUGGUUUCAACCCCUUGCGACCCAGCACCUACUCCAGCCUCAGCACACCUUUAUCUGCCCCAGGCUAUGAGGCCCUGGCAGAAACUCCAUGUCCCACCUUGCAACCACAGCCAUCUGAAGACCUGGUGUCCAGUGGUCCCGAGGACUGUGGCUUCUUCCCCAAUGGGGCCUUUGACCACUGCCUGAGUCACAUCCCCUCCAUCUACACAGACACCUGAAGGAGCCCCACUCUACCUGCCUGCCCAGCUCCUGAUACUACUUUGCCUACUUGCCAUCAGCCCUGGUGCUUCCUUACAAGGGGCAGAGAGGCCACACCACAGGGGCACUUCCCUACCUGGAGGGCUGUCUUGUCUUGGAGCUGCCUGCCCGGAACUGUGGUCCUCUGACAGUCCCUUGACUGUAUCUUCCUCUCUCUCCCUAAGGUUCUCAAAUCACAGACCUCGUGUAUAUACAAUGUACAGGACCUCUUUCCCGUCUCCCUGCAAGUUUUAUAUUUUUGGUUUUACAAGAAAAACAUUAAAAACUGGAAACUAGAC